rnacentral:rRNA from 1 species
GACGAACGCUGGCGGCGUGCUUAACACAUGCAAGUCGAACGGAAAGGCCUGGCAUUUGUGGGGUGCUCGUGUGCCGAACGGGGGAGUAUCACGUGAGUAAACUGUCCUUGUCUUUGGGAUAACACCUGGAGACAGGGGCGAUAAUAGCAUAGGAUCUCCUGCUGCACGGUGGGGGUUGGAAAGAGUCGGCGGUUGGGGAUGGAAUCGAGGCUUAUCAGCUUGUUGGUGAGGUAGUGGAUUACCAAGGCUUCGACGGGUAGCCGACCUGGGAGGGUGACAGGCCACAAUGGUCCUGAGGUACGGCCCAGACUGCUACGUGAGGCAGCAGUGGGAAUUAUUGCACAAUAGGCGGAAGCCUGAUACAACGACGCCGCGUGCGAGAUAACGGCCUUUAGGGUAUAAACCGCUUUCGACUGUAACGAAGCGUGAGUGACGGUAAUUAAUAAAAAAGCAACGGCUAACUACGUG